rnacentral:rRNA from 1 species
UAUUAUGAGAGUUUGAUCCUGGCUCAGGACGAACGCUGGCGGCGUGCCUAAUACAUGCAAGUCGUACGCUUCUUUUUCCACCGGAGCUUGCUCCACCGGAAAAAGAAGAGUGGCGAACGGGUGAGUAACACGUGGGUAACCUGCCCAUCAGAAGGGGAUAACACUUGGAAACAGGUGCUAAUACCGUAUAACAAUCGAAACCGCAUGGUUUUGAUUUGAAAGGCGCUUUCGGGUGUCGCUGAUGGAUGGACCCGCGGUGCAUUAGCUAGUUGGUGAGGUAACGGCUCACCAAGGCCACGAUGCAUAGCCGACCUGAGAGGGUGAUCGGCCACAUUGGGACUGAGACACGGCCCAAACUCCUACGGGAGGCAGCAGUAGGGAAUCUUCGGCAAUGGACGAAAGUCUGACCGAGCAACGCCGCGUGAGUGAAGAAGGUUUUCGGAUCGUAAAACUCUGUUGUUAGAGAAGAACAAGGAUGAGAGUAACUGUUCAUCCCUUGACGGUAUCUAACCAGAAAGCCACGGCUAACUACGUGCCAGCAGCCGCGGUAAUACGUAGGUGGCAAGCGUUGUCCGGAUUUAUUGGGCGUAAAGCGAGCGCAGGCGGUUUCUUAAGUCUGAUGUGAAAGCCCCCGGCUCAACCGGGGAGGGUCAUUGGAAACUGGGAGACUUGAGUGCAGAAGAGGAGAGUGGAAUUCCAUGUGUAGCGGUGAAAUGCGUAGAUAUAUGGAGGAACACCAGUGGCGAAGGCGGCUCUCUGGUCUGUAACUGACGCUGAGGCUCGAAAGCGUGGGGAGCAAACAGGAUUAGAUACCCUGGUAGUCCACGCCGUAAACGAUGAGUGCUAAGUGUUGGAGGGUUUCCGCCCUUCAGUGCUGCAGCUAACGCAUUAAGCACUCCGCCUGGGGAGUACGACCGCAAGGUUGAAACUCAAAGGAAUUGACGGGGGCCCGCACAAGCGGUGGAGCAUGUGGUUUAAUUCGAAGCAACGCGAAGAACCUUACCAGGUCUUGACAUCCUUUGACCACUCUAGAGAUAGAGCUUCCCCUUCGGGGGCAAAGUGACAGGUGGUGCAUGGUUGUCGUCAGCUCGUGUCGUGAGAUGUUGGGUUAAGUCCCGCAACGAGCGCAACCCUUAUUGUUAGUUGCCAUCAUUCAGUUGGGCACUCUAGCAAGACUGCCGGUGACAAACCGGAGGAAGGUGGGGAUGACGUCAAAUCAUCAUGCCCCUUAUGACCUGGGCUACACACGUGCUACAAUGGGAAGUACAACGAGUCGCGAAGUCGCGAGGCUAAGCUAAUCUCUUAAAGCUUCUCUCAGUUCGGAUUGUAGGCUGCAACUCGCCUACAUGAAGCCGGAAUCGCUAGUAAUCGCGGAUCAGCACGCCGCGGUGAAUACGUUCCCGGGCCUUGUACACACCGCCCGUCACACCACGAGAGUUUGUAACACCCGAAGUCGGUGAGGUAACCUUUUGGAGCCAGCCGCCUAAGGUGGGAUAGAUGAUUGGGGUGAAGUCGUAACAAGGUAGCCGUAUCGGAAGGUGCGGCUGGAUCACCUCCUUU